AGUAACAACGAACCAUGAGAAGUCAGCAGAGGCCAUAGUACCGAGGGGUUAAAGCUCGUUCUUCUCGGGAAGGGC
rnacentral:ncRNA from 1 species